UCGGGAAUUUUGGGCAAUGGGGGAAACCCUGACCCAGCAACGCCGCGUGAAGGAUGAAGUAUUUCGGUAUGUAAACUUCGAAAGAAUAGGAAGAAUAAAUGACGGUACUAUUUAUAAGGUCCGGCUAACUACGUGCCAGCAGCCGCGGUAAUACGUAGGGACCAAGCGUUGUUCGGAUUUACUGGGCGUAAAGGGCGCGUAGGCGGCUUGACAAGUCACUUGUGAAAUCUCUGGGCUUAACCCAGAACGGCCAAGUGAAACUGUCAUGCUAGAGUGCAGAAGGGGCAAUCGGAAUUCUUGGUGUAGCGGUGAAAUGCGUAGAUAUCAAGAGGAACACCUGAGGUGAAGACGGGUUGCUGGGCUGACACUGACGCUGAGGCGCGAAAGCCAGGGGAGCAAACGGGAUUAGAUACCCCGGUAGUCCCUGAGCGGGCUGGCAAGGCGCAU
rnacentral:rRNA from 1 species